AAAGAUUAAGCCAUGCAUGUCUAAGUAUAAGCAAUUAUACCGUGAAACUGCGAAUGGCUCAUUAAAUCAGUUAUCGUUUAUUUGAUAAUACCUUACUACUUGGAUAACCGUGGUAAUUCUAGAGCUAAUACAUGCUGAAAAUCCCGACUUCGGAAGGGAUGUGUUUAUUAGAUAAAAAACCAAUGCCCUUCGGGGCUUUUUGGUGAUUCAUGAUAACUUUACGGAUCGCAUAGCCUUGCGCUGGCGACGGUUCAUUCAAAUUUCUGCCCUAUCAACUUUCGAUGGUAAGGUAUUGGCUUACCAUGGUUUCAACGGGUAACGGGGAAUUAGGGUUCGAUUCCGGAGAGGGAGCCUGAGAAACGGCUACCACAUCCAAGGAAGGCAGCAGGCGCGCAAAUUACCCAAUCCCGACACGGGGAGGUAGUGACAAUAAAUACUGAUACAGGGCUCUUUUGGGUCUUGUAAUUGGAAUGAGUACAAUUUAAACCUCUUAACGAGGAACAAUUGGAGGGCAAGUCUGGUGCCAGCAGCCGCGGUAAUUCCAGCUCCAAUAGCGUAUAUUAAAGUUGUUGCAGUUAAAAAGCUCGUAGUUGAAACUUGGGCCUGGCUGGCGGGUCCGCCUCACCGCGUGCACUCGUCCGGCCGGGCCUUCCUUCUGAAGAACCUCAUGCCCUUCACUGGGCGUGCUGGGGAAUCAGGACUUUUACUUUGAAAAAAUUAGAGUGUUCAAAGCAGGCCUUUGCUCGAAUACGUUAGCAUGGAAUAAUAAAAUAGGGCGUGCGUUUCUAUUUUGUUGGUUUCUAGAGACGCCGCAAUGAUUAACAGGAACAGUCGGGGGCAUCAGUAUUCAGUUG
rnacentral:rRNA from 1 species